rnacentral:rRNA from 1 species
UAGGGAAUCUUCUGCAAUGGACGCAAGUCUGACGGAGCAACGCCGCGUGAGUGAAGAAGGAUUUCGGUUCGUAAAACUCUGUUGUUAGAGAAGAACAGCGCACAGAGUAACUGUUAUGCGUGUGACGGUAUCUAACCAGAAAGCCACGGCUAACUACGUGCCAGCAGCCGCGGUAAUACGUAGGUGGCAAGCGUUGUCCGGAUUUAUUGGGCGUAAAGCGAGCGCAGGCGGUCAAUUAAGUCUGGUGUGAAAGCCCCCGGCUCAACCGGGGAGGGUCGUUGGAAACUGGUUGACUUGAGUGCAGAAGAGGAGAGUGGAAUUCCAUGUGUAGCGGUGAAAUGCGUAGAUAUAUGGAGGAACACCAGUGGCGAAGGCGACUCUCUGGUCUGUAACUGACGCUGAGGUUCGAAAGCGUGGGUAGCAAACAGG